rnacentral:rRNA from 1 species
GUGAGGAAUUUUGCGCAAUGGGAGAAAUCCUGACGCAGCAACGCCGCGUGGGUGAAGAAGGCCUUCGGGUCGUAAAGCCCUGUCGGGUGGGAAGAAAUCCCGGGGGAAGAAUAUACUUUCGGGUUGACGGUACCACCAAAGGAAGCACCGGCUAACUCCGUGCCAGCAGCCGCGGUAAUACGGAGGGUGCGAGCGUUAUUCGGAAUUACUGGGCGUAAAGCGCGUGCAGGCGGGUGGACAAGUCUGAUGUGAAAGCCCCGGGCUCAACCUGGGAAGUGCAUUGGAAACUGUUCAUCUUGAGUGCUGGAGAGGAAGGGGGAAUUCCCGGUGUAGAGGUGAAAUUCGUAGAGAUCGGGAGGAAUACCAGUGGCGAAGGCGCCCUUCUGGACGGCAACUGACGCUGAGACGCGAAAGCGUGGGGAGCAAACAGGAUUAGAUACCCCAGUAGUCC